rnacentral:tRNA from 1 species
GUUCCCGUAGCUCAGCCGGAUAGAGCGUUCGCCUCCUAAGCGAAAGGCCUUGGGUUCGAAUCCCGACGGGAACGCCA